rnacentral:rRNA from 1 species
UACGAAGGGUGCAAGCGUUACUCGGAAUUACUGAGCGUAAAGCGUGCGUAGGUGGUUUGUUAAGUCUGUUGUGAAAGCCCCGGGCUCAACCUGGGAAUGGCAAUGGAUACUGGCAAGCUAGAGUGCGGUAGAGGGUAGUGGAAUUCCCGGUGUAGCGGUGAAAUGCGUAGAGAUCGGGAGGAACACCAGUGGCGAAGGCGGCUACCUGGACCAGCACUGACACUGAGGCACGAAAGCGUGGGGAGCAAACAGGG